GCGCUCGUAGCUCAAUGGAUAGAGCACUUGUCUUCGGAACAAGGGAUGGGGGUUCAAUUCCCUCCGGGCGCA
rnacentral:tRNA from 1 species